rnacentral:rRNA from 1 species
CCUACGGGUGGCAGCAGUGAGGAAUAUUGGUCAAUGGACGCAAUUCUGAACCAGCCAUGCCGCGUGAGGGAAGACGGCUCUAUGAGUUGUAAACUUCUUUUGUACGAGGAUAAAAGCAGGUACGAGUACCUGACUGCGAGUAUCGUACGAAAAAGCAUCGGCUAACUCCGUGCCAGCAGCCGCGGUAAUACGGAGGAUGCAAGCGUUAUCCGGAUUUAUUGGGGUUAAAGGGUGCGUAGGCGGUCGGUUAAGUUAGCGGUGAAAUCCGGGGGCUCAACGUCGGACUUGCCUUUGAUACUGGUAGGCUAGAGAGUGGUAGCGGUAGGCGGAAUGUAUGGUGUAGCGGUGAAAUGCGUAGAUAUCGUGCAGAACACCGAUUGCGAAGGCAGCGUACCAGG